rnacentral:rRNA from 1 species
UACGGAGGGUGCAAGCGUUAUCCGGAUUCACUGGGUUUAAAGGGUGCGUAGGCGGGCAGGUAAGUCAGUGGUGAAAUCUCUGGGCUUAACCCAGAAACUGCCGUUGAUACUACUUGUCUUGAAUAUCAUGGAGGUAAGCGGAAUAUGUCAUGUAGCGGUGAAAUGCUUAGAUAUGACAUAGAACACCGAUAGCGAAGGCAGCUUACUACAUGUUAAUUGACGCUGAGGCACGAAAGCGUGGGGAGCAAACAGG